rnacentral:rRNA from 1 species
CAGUUAACAAGACUUAUUAUAUAAUAAACCCCGAAAAAUAAUACAACUACUUAUACGACACAAAAAUUAUAAUUUAAUAAGUAAUAGCUACAUACUAUACUAUUAUUUAUAAUUGGCUAGGUUAACUAUUACCUAUAACAUUCUGGAAAAGCAUAAUGCCAUCUUCUUUCUAAUUUUAAUCUAAUACACUUAAGACUUAAAUUAUCAAAUUAAUUUGUCAUAAAUAAUAUAUUUCUCUAGAAAGUAAUCUCACCUAUCACAACAUAUAAAAUUAUACUCUGUUAAAAUUAGUAAAUUAUAAACACUCUAUCUUAUAACUCGACCCUCUUUAAGGAGACUGUUUAACAAAAACAUAGCCUAUAACUUAACUUUAGGUACAACCCUGCCCUCUGAAAUUUUAACAGCCGCGGUAUCCUAACCGUGCUAAGGUAGCAUAAUCAUUUGCCUAUUAAUUAUAGGCUAGCAUGAACGGGAUCACUCACUUAAAUUUAUUUUCACUACAAUUAAAAUUAAACUUUAAGUUAAAAUACUAAAUUUUUAAGAAAGACAAAAAGACCCUGAAAACUAUUAGAAGAUAAUUAGUUGGGGCAACUAUAGACCAUAAACAGCGUCUAUUAAAAUUCGAAUUUUAAAAUUCAAAGCACACAGUUACUUCAGGGAUAACAGACUAAUUGUAUUAUUUAGACCUAAUAAAUAAUAAAGAUUGGCACCUCGAUGUUGGCUUAUAAUUCCUUCAUAUAGUAACAUAUAUUGAUGGCAGCUUGUUCAUCUGAUAAAUAUUUACUGCGAGUUUC